rnacentral:rRNA from 1 species
CUACGGGAGGCUCCAGUGGGGAAUAUUGCACAAUGGGCGCAAGCCUGAUGCAGCCAUGCCGCGUGUAUGAAGAAGGCCUUCGGGUUGUAAAGUACUUUCAGCGGGGAGGAAGGGAGUAAAGUUAAUACCUUUGCUCAUUGACGUUACCCGCAGAAGAAGCACCGGCUAACUCCGUGCCAGCAGCCGCGGUAAUAGCGGAGGGUACAAGCGUUAAUCGGAAUUACUGGGCGUAAAGCGCACGCAGGCGGUUUGUUAAGUCAGAUGUGAAAUCCCCGGGCUCAACCUGGGAACUGCAUCUGAUACUGGCAAGCUUGAGUCUGGUAGAGGGGGGUAGAAUUCCAGGUGUAGCGGUGAAAUGCGUAGAGAUCUGGAGGAAUACCGGUGGCGAAGGCGGCCCCCUGGACGAAGACUGACGCUCAGGUGCGAAAGCGUGGGGAGCAAACAGGAUUAGAUACCCUAGUAGUC